CAGUAGCCGCGGUAAGACAGAGGAUGCAAGCGUUAUCCGGAAUGAUUGGGCGUAAAGGGCUCGCAGGCGGUUUCUUAAGUCUGAUGUGAAAGCCCCCGGCUCAACCGGGGAGGGUCAUUGGAAACUGGGAAACUUGAGUGCAGAAGAGGAGAGUGGAAUUCCACGUGUAGCGGUGAAAUGCGUAGAGAUGUGGAGGAACACCAGUGGCGAAGGCGACUCUCUGGUCUGUAACUGACGCUGAGGAGCGAGAGCGUGGGGAGCGAACAGGAUUAGAUACCCCCGUAGUCCCUGUCUCUUAUAC
rnacentral:rRNA from 1 species